UUUCGCUUUGUCAGGUGCUGGUCGCUAGUAGUCCAGGAUGCUACUUAUUGAGAGGCUAUUAAGGUUUUUCGGAUCAACGGGUGGCAUGUCUUGGCCGGAUAUUGAGGUGUUUUUCGGAUCAACGGAUGGCAUGUCUUGGGAGGCCGUUAAGACGUUUUGCUGGAAUGGUGGCUGGUAUAUUGAGAUCGGAUCCUGAGGUGCUCCAUGUGGAUAAAAGCUUCUACGUUGUAUUACCAGCCAUGAGUUUAGGACUAUGGAAAUACGAUAUAUUCCUCCUGUCCACUACUGCAAAGUGUAUGUGAUCAGGUAAAGUUUGCAUGAUUAAUGAGAAUAAUUAUGGUAUCACAGAAAAGGCAGGUAAUAUCUUAAGGACUUUUUUGGAUACAGUAUAUUCACAAGAAAUAAAAGGAUUCAGUA